AAGUAUGUAAGUAGACAGUUUUUAAGCUUCCAACGGAUGGCACAUUUAUAGUAAAAGCGUUAACUAAAGUUUUAUAAAUUCAAAGUGACUUUCUCUCUGCUGAAAAAAGUAAAAUAUUCAUAUGGACUAACAUAGUUAAUGAUCUAAACAAAGUUAGAAUACUUGGAAGGAGUUAAAGGCAAAACUGAAGGGUUUGGCAAAGUGCACAAGGCCAAGAGAUGAAAUGAACGUCUCCUCGUACCCGUUCAGUUUGUGCCUGGUGAAAGUAACUCAACCAACGACAUCGGUGAAAUGGCUUCUGGAGAUGCUAUCAACUCCUUUGAUCAGGAUCUAUCAACCACGUCCAAUACUAAAACGGCAGACAAUUCAAAUUUUAUUAAAGAUGAUCAAAAUAUUCAAUCUUCAAGUUCAGAUAUUAAUCAGCACCGCCAAUCUCGUUAUGGAAACAAAGGAGAUAAGGAGCGCAAGAUUGGUCAUCGGCGCGUUGGAGAAGGCGGGGAGAUCACCUAUAAAAAAAUUCAAACUAGCCAGAUAAUGGGCUCCAUCCAGUUGGGCAUUCAACACACGGUCGGAAGCCUGGCAUCUAAACCGAAACGAGAUCUUCUAAUGAUGGACUUUUUCGAAAUUGAAAGUAUUACUUUUCCCCCAGAAGGAUCAAGCCUUACGCCAGCCCACCACUACAGUGAAUUCAGAUAUAAAAUUUAUGCGCCUAUUGCAUUUCGGUAUUUUAGGGAUUUGUUUGGAAUACAACCGGAUGAUUUUAUGAUGUCCAUGUGCUCAGCACCGUUGAGAGAGUUAUCCAACCCUGGUGCUUCUGGUUCUAUCUUUUAUUUGACGGCUGAUGAUGAAUUCAUAAUUAAAACUGUUCAACACAAAGAAGGAGAGUUUUUGCAAAAGCUUUUGCCUGGAUACUACAUGAAUUUGAAUCAAAAUCCGCGUACAUUGUUGCCAAAAUUUUUUGGUCUUUACUGCCUACAGACAAGUACUAGUAAAAACAUUCGAUUGGUUGUUAUGAACAAUCUCUUGCCCUCAUCAGUUAAAAUGCAUUUGAAAUAUGAUUUAAAGGGAUCGACAUUCAAGAGAAAAGCUUCAAAAGGGGAACGUUCAAAAAAAUCGCCGACUUAUAAAGAUCUUGAUUUUAUGGAGCAUCAUCCAAAUGGUUUGUUUUUAGAAGCAGAAACAUACAGCGCACUCAUCAAAACAAUUCAACGCGACUGUACAGUGCUGGAAUCAUUCAAGAUUAUGGAUUAUUCACUUUUAGUUGGAGUUCAUAAUUUGGAUCAGGCGAGCAAAGAAAAGAAAAGUGAAAGUAAAAAAUCAAAAGCUCCCAUAGCUGAGGAUUCCGAUUUUGAAGACAAUCCAGAUGGGGAUGGCGAAGCCGCCGGGGGAUCAGAAGGUCGCGACAGGGAAUCAUCAGUGAGCAUGAAUCGCAAUAAAUCAGCAAUUCGGCAACGUUUAGUAGCGCAUUCUACAGCAAUGGAAAGCAUUCAAGCCGAGAGCGAGCCUAUAGACGAUGAAGACGAUGUUCCACCUGGUGGAAUUCCUGCCAGAAGUGAAAAAGGCGAACGUCUCCUUCUCUACAUCGGUAUAAUUGAUAUAUUGCAGUCUUACAGAUUAAAGAAGAAACUUGAGCAUACUUUCAAGAGUAUUAUACACGAUGGGGACACUGUAUCAGUGUGCCGGCCAUCAUUUUAUGCUCAAAGAUUCCAAACCUUUAUGGCCAAAACCGUAUUUCGAAAAAUACCUUCGUUGGAUUUACCGGAAAUUAAAGGAAAUCAUAGAAAGUUUCGUACUUUGGUAACCAGUUACAUCGCACUCAAGCACUCUCCUUCAAAAAGGAAAAGUUUAUCGAAAGCAAUACAGCGUUCUAUUGAAAAUGAGAGUGAAAAUCGCUCGGAAUGCGCCGUCGAACAUCGCCCAGCGUAUCCAUCGAACACUUCCGGCACUAAGGCGCACACACAAUCCAGUAAGCCGUCAGGUGGACUGAAGUCUUCUGGUACUGAUGUACCCACAUCGACUACAUCGCUCGCUUCCACAACUCCCGUUGUUCCAAUGCUUGGUCCUCGAUUAUCCAUUCAACAUGCGGGCAGUGGUGCAUCAAAGUCUAAGGUCCCUCCCCCUGUGCCACCAAGAGGUUCACCUCGGCGGAAGAAGAGCGAUGGUCAUAACGAAGUCGCACGCGGUGUUUCCAAUACAGGCUCAACACCUUCUUGCAGUUCAACGCCUCCACCCGCGUUUGAUGAUAUUUCUGAAGACAGUUCGAAUAGAAAUAGUUCGUCCUUUGGUAGAAAAUCGCAAUACUCUCACGAGCGUAAAAUGAAUGUCGGUCCAGCAUAUCGGGGCUCUCAAAAGGACGAUAUUGUCAGAUACUUCAUCCAGUAGUCAAUAUGGAUCUCGUGGAGGAUUGGCGUGGACACCACCAGCUUCUGGAGAGGGAUCAACACCGACUUGGACAGAAGGAACCCCAAGCUUUACAGAUUCCAGCUCCAGUGGUGAUAUUGAGAACUUCUCCCCAAUUAACACAUCAAAAACUGACCGACAUAAAGCAACUGUGGAAGACACACUAAACUCCCUUUCAUCGGAAAUGAUUCGAU
rnacentral:misc_RNA from 1 species